rnacentral:lncRNA from 1 species
UGCCAAAUUGAUGAGCAAAAAAAGAUUGAUUCAGACUACAUCAAAUAAUAAUGUACCAAAAUAAAUUCAAGAUAAUACAUUUUAAUUUAACUUUCAGGACCGAUGGCUUCAUCCCCAAUUCCAAAGAUUAGGAAUAUUAAACAACAACUUCAAUGCCUUUAAAUGACGAUGAAUUCCUCAUGUCUUAUGCACCAGGAUUGAACCCUUGCAGCAGGCACCAUUGCUUUUGCCAAACCUAAAAUUCAUGAACAAAAUGGUGAGGAAACCAAAAAAGUAAUGUCGGGAAAGAUAAAUCAAGACUGUAUUAUUGGCUUUAAAGGGAAAACAAGCAGACAAAUAGGCACAGCAUGACUAUCUUUCUGCUAGUACUAGUAUGAUAAAAAUGAAAAGCGAGUAAAAAAUAGCAAAGAAAGGAAAACAAAAGCAAAGAAUGCUCAACCAUUAUAUAGAUCUGAAACAGGGAAAAACCAAAGGUAACUAAGAACCGUAAACAAAUUGUUCCAUAUGAUAAAAUUAUCAGUACUGCGUCUAUAUAUUUGCUCCUCUAAGAGAUCUGUCAAACGUCUUAUUUAUCACGUGUUACAGUUUCACACACCCUAAACCUUUAUUUGGAUUUAGUCCCUACUUGCUUGCGGUCUACUAAAUCACCAUUGCACUUAUGGGGGAAGCAACUUAGACCAACAAGUAAUUUUCAAUGAAUCCUAUUGAGGACUGCCAUCCAAUGUUAUUAAUGGUGGAUGGUAGCUCCUAAAGGAAAGCAAAAAAUCUGCCAUAUAAAUAUCACAGAUGGAAUAGUUGGUUAUGGCAAAAGCAUAAAACCAUUGAGAAUAUAAUAAAUAUAAUGUAUACACGCAGGAAAAAAGUAUAAUAAAGCCACAUAACAAACAGAAAACUGAAAACCACUGAACAAAUAUCAAAGAGGACUUCACAAAGACACGGAUAAGGGAAAGAUCAGAUAACGAGGUGUUACCUAAGAAACCAAGGAGGUGUUAGUAAAAAAUAGGUUACCUGAGAAAACCAAAACAUUCAUUUUCCAAAGAUGAAUAGUUCCCCGAGAAUGGUCUCCUAUGCAAGAUAUGGUGGAAGUGUUCAAUCAAAUGGAUCUGGAACCAGUGUUGGGUUUGUAUUUGUAUAAAACACGAACGUAUAAAACGUGAGCGAGGCAUGUCUGGCAUUCCAAAUUCCAAUGUUUG